rnacentral:rRNA from 1 species
UACGUAGGGGGCGAGCGUUGUCCGGAUUUAUUGGGCGUAAAGAGCGUGUAGGCGGCCAGGUAGGUCCGUUGUGAAAACUCGAGGCUCAACCUCGAGACGUCGAUGGAAACCAUCUGGCUAGAGUCCGGAAGAGGAGAGUGGAAUUCCUGGUGUAGCGGUGAAAUGCGCAGAUAUCAGGAAGAACACCUAUGGCGAAGGCAGCUCUCUGGGACGGUACUGACGCUGAGACGCGAAAGCGUGGGGAGCGAACAGG